rnacentral:rRNA from 1 species
GACGAACGCUGGCGGCGUGCUUAACACAUGCAAGUCGAACGAUGAAGCCGGAGCUUGCUCUGGUGAAUUAGUGGCGAACGGGUGAGUAACACGUGAGUAACCUGCCCUUGACUCUGGGAUAACUGCGGGAAACUGUAGCUAAUACCGGAUACGACCCUCGGAGGCAUCUCCCGGGGGCGGAAAUACUUUCGGUCAAGGAUGGACUCGCGGCCUAUCAGCUAGUUGGUGAGGUAAAGGCUCACCAAGGCGACGACGGGUAGCCGGCCUGAGAGGGUGACCGGCCACACUGGGACUGAGACACGGCCCAGACUCCUACGGGAGGCAGCAGUGGGGAAUAUUGCACAAUGGGCGCAAGCCUGAUGCAGCAACGCCGCGUGAGGGAUGACGGCCUUCGGGUUGUAAACCUCUUUUAGCAGGGAAGAAGCGAAAGUGACGGUACCUGCAGAAAAAGCACCGGCUAACUACGUGCCAGCCGCCGCAGUAA